rnacentral:rRNA from 1 species
UACGUAGGGUGCGAGCGUUAAUCGGAAUUACUGGGCGUAAAGUGUGCGCAGGCGGCAGAGCAAGUCGAGUGUGAAAGCCCCGGGCUCAACUUGGGAAUUGCGCUCGAAACUACUUUGCUGGAGUGUGGCAGAGGAAGGUGGAAUUCCACGUGUAGCGGUGAAAUGCGUAGAGAUGUGGAGGAACACCAAUGGCGAAGGCAGCCUUCUGGGCCAACACUGACGCUCAUGCACGAAAGCGUGGGGAGCAGACAGG